rnacentral:ncRNA from 1 species
UAACCAUUAUCGUGAGAUAGUGCUGAACGUACAGAAGUCAGCCGAGGUCGUAGUAGUCAAAUGGAACGGGUUCCAUUCGAGAGGAAGGAC